rnacentral:lncRNA from 1 species
GCCCGUGUCUGCUGCCUGGCAUCUUGGCACGGUUCGUGCUGGACCAUGUGCUGUGUGUAAGUGGCUCGGGUACAGCGAGGAGCGCCUGCGGUCAUCUGGGAGCAGUCCCCAGCCAGCACGUCCAUUGCUAGUCCAUACGGAUUGCCAGAGCUCUGCAGGGGCUGGCGGGAGAGGCGGGCACAGAUCCGCUUCCAUCGAGGCCAGGAUUAUAGGAAGGUUGAUCCGCACAACUACAUGGCCAUCACUUGUUCAGCGUGCGCUCCCUCCGUGUAGUUACAGCACUGGAAGUGGUCUCACGCAUCCAGGAAUGAGGUGGUUUAUCAGGGGGCAGAGGGAAAGGAUGUGUUGAGAGUUUCAUCUGAGCCUCCGGAACCCCUGGCAGGAGAAGCCGCGCUGGAGUUUUCAUCCUGUGCAAAGGGCCCUCACUGGAGCCACAGUUUGGGAUCAGACAGGACUUUGGGUCUGCUCCCUUCCUGCAGCUCCCCACAGCCGCUGCUUCGGCACCAGUCACCAAGUGGGCACCUGAAAGGCCUGGGAAGCAGCAGAAAGAAAGUGACUGUAAAUCCACCCAUCUGCUGCCAAGGGACACACGGAAACUCCUGCAGUGUUCCUGCCCCAGAGAGCAGCUGCAGAAGAGGCCACUGACGCUUUGCAUCGAGUGUUGGUGCACGCAGCAGCUCGGAAGGUUCAUCUUCUGAUCGGGGCUGGAGAGCAGAUUUGGUGUGUGUGUUUUAAAUUGUGUCUGGGAGCGUUUGUGUCAACCAAAGGAUUGUAGGAGGGAAAAAUACAACUGCACUGGGGAGGAGAGGCUGUUUCCAGGCUGCCUCCGUUGGAGCUCAAUCCCCAACUUGCUCAAGGCAAGAUCACACUGAGAAACCCACCCCAGCACCUACAUCUUACUGAGAACAGAGCGGUGCUGCUUCCAGGGUGCUGAUUACACCGGGGUUCAGCACCGAAGGGUAACGCUGGGCUAAUCACAGCCUCCCUUUAUGCCCUCCUACAGCCCCGUGUCCCAGCCCAGCAGCACAUGGGCACAGGCUUCACCUCAGGCAAAUCAGUAUUGGAUAUUUGCUUCAGUGUGGGUUAUUUAACAGCCUGAGAUUAGGCACAGUCAUUAUUCUAUUUACCUAAAACCUCUUUUGCAUUUUUUUCAAGCACUUUAUUUAUUUAUUUAUUUUUAAUAUGGGGAAGAAGAAUCUCUCCCACCUCUCCUGUGUGGGUUAAACACUACAACACACGCUCAGGGUUGCUGAGCAGAACUUACCUGUUUUAACACGAAAUGGUGGAGGUUUGGUGUACUCAGCCCUGACUUGCAGCACGUGGAUGCACUGCAAACCAGAGGCAGCUCUUUUGGGGUGUUUAGCGCUAUUUAUGCAUGUGUUGGUACCUUACGCGUGUGCUCAUAAAGCCAGAGCUGCUGGCGCCCUCGGUGCUUUGCAGACCUCCACGUGCUCUCACCAUGACCCGACCAGCACCGGCUCUGGCUGGGAAGUGCUUUGGUGAAUUUUCCAGCCGGGGCAAACCCAUUCAAUGAGAGUCACCAAAGCGGCAGGAUGGGGAGAGCUGCAAGGCCCCAGCACGGGGCGUGCUGGUGGAGCAGAGCAGUGCCUGGGGUGUGCGGCCGCCCGGCUCCAGCCAGUGCCUGGUGCCAUUGACACCAACGGGCCGGACUGAGCCCCGGGAAGCUGCGGGUGAAGGGACCCGGAGAGGCAAGUUCAGCAGCCCCAGAGCACUCGGGAGCCUCAGGAACAGCAUGUCCCAAAGUUCCUUUCCUUUACUUUUCUCAUAGAAAAAAACCCACAACUUGUUUUGGUUUUAAUUUCAGUAAGAAAGUUGAUUAUUUUUGGUCUAAUCAGGCUCUUUUUGUUAACGUGGCUGGUAAACCCAGAUUCAGUUACUUGAAGAGUGUUAUUUGGACUACACAAGAAGAAAAUCUUAGGUAUGUGCAUGAACUCUUCCAGGAUUGGGGCUGGAUGGGACAGUACAGGAAGUGGGGCUUGCUCUCCCUCGCGCUGUGAAUGUGACCGUGCUUCAUUUCCACAUCCGUGUCCUCAUUAGUCACAGCAGGUUUGUGGAGUGGCUGCUGUGAGCCAGUGGUGUUGUGUUGAUGCACUUGUUUAAAACGCUGUUGUAGCCUCUUUGGUAAAGAGCAUUAAAGUGAUUUGAAGGCA